rnacentral:rRNA from 1 species
GACGUAGGAUGCGAGCGUUGUUCGGAUUCAUUGGGCGUAAAGGGCGCGUAGGCGGCGGGGUAAGUCUGGUGUGAAAUCUCGGAGCUCAACUCCGAAAUUGCACUGGAUACUGCUCUGCUAGAGGGCUGGAGAGGAGAUCGGAAUUCACGGUGUAGCAGUGAAAUGCGUAGAUAUCGUGAGGAAGACCAGUGGCGAAGGCGGAUCUCUGGACAGCUCCUGACGCUGAGGCGCGAAGGCUAGGGGAGCAAACGGG